UACAGAGGUGGCAAGCGUUGUUCGGAAUUACUGGGCGUAAAGGGCGCGUAGGCGGUUCGUUAAGUCCUGUGUGAAAUCCCCCGGCUCAACUGGGGAACUGCACAGGAAACUAGCGGGCUUGAGUUCGGGAGAGGGAAGCGGAAUUCCGGGUGUAGCGGUGAAAUGCGUAGAUAUCCGGAGGAACACCGGUGGCGAAGGCGGCUCCUGGACCGACACUGACGCUGAGGCGCGAAAGCUAGGGGAGCAAACGGG
rnacentral:rRNA from 1 species